AUGAAUUUAUCAUUUGAUAUAAACCAAUCUUGUGCACUGUAAAUGAUAUAUGCGAGGCGUCAAUUUCGGUUGUCGUCUCGGAUCAUCACUUUUUUACGUCUGAUAUCAAUACUGUCUGAUCCAUAUUAAUGUCAUGUAUUAUCCUAGUGAUCAUCCGUGGCUGAAUAUAAAAUUUAAAUAAAAUA
rnacentral:misc_RNA from 1 species